GCGGGAGUGGCGAAAUUGGUAGACGCACCAGAUUUAGGUUCUGGCGCCGCAAGGUGUGCGAGUUCAAGUCACGCCUCCCGCACCA
rnacentral:tRNA from 1 species